GACGUAGGGCGCGAGCGUUGUCCGGAAUUAUUGGGCGUAAAGGGCGCGUAGGCGGCUUUUCAAGUGACGGGUGAAAUCCCUCGGCUUAACCGAGGAACUGCCUGUCAGACUGGAAGGCUUGAGACCGGGAGAGGUGAGUGGAAUUCCCAGUGUAGCGGUGAAAUGCGUAGAUAUUGGGAGGAACACCAGUGGCGAAGGCGGCUCACUGGACCGGAACUGACGCUGAGGCGCGAAAGCGUGGGGAGCAAACAGG
rnacentral:rRNA from 1 species